rnacentral:rRNA from 1 species
GACGUAGGGUCCAAGCGUUGUCCGGAUUUACUGGGCGUAAAGAGCACGUAGGCGGUCCGUUAAGUGUGAAGUGAAAUCUCCAGAGCUCAACUCGGAAACUGCUUCGCAUACUGGCGGACUUGAGGAAUGCAGAGGUGAAUAGAAUUCCUGGUGUAGCGGUGAAAUGCGUAGAUAUCAGGAGGAAUACCCAUGGCGAAGGCAGUUCACUGGGCAUUAUCUGACGCUGAGGUGCGAAAGCGUGGGGAGCAAACAGG